AACUUUGUUAUGCGCGGUAGAGGAGCGUUCCGUAAGCCGUUGAAGGUGGAUUGAGAAGUCUGCUGGAGGUAUCGGAAGUGCGAAUGCUGACAUGAGUAACGAUAAUGCGGGUGAAAAACCCGCACGCCGAAAGCCCAAGGUUUCCUUGCGCAACGUUAAUCGGCGCAGGGUGAGUCGGCCCCUAAGGCGAGGACGAAAGUCGUAGUCGAUGGGAAGCAGGUUAAUAUUCCUGCACCUCGCGUAAGUGCGAUGGAGGGACGGAGAAGGUUAGGUGUACCAGGCGUUGGUUGUCCUGGGGAAAGGCGGUAGGUUUGGAUCUUUGGCAAAUCCGGGAUCCUUUAAGACCGAGCACCGAGACGAGCCUUUAUGGCGAAGUCACUGAUACCACGCUUCCAGGAAAAGCUCCUAAGCUUCAGCUUACGCAGACCGUACCGUAAACCGACACAGGUGGGUAGGAUGAGAAUUCUCAGGCGCUUGAGAGAACUCGGGUGAAGGAACUAGGCAACAUGGCACCGUAACUUCGGGAGAAGGUGCACCCUUUUUGGUGGCUCGUGCGAGCUAUAGCUGAAGAGGGUCGCAGUAACCAGGCCGCUGCGACUGUUUAUCAAAAACACAGCACUCUGCAAACACGAAAGUGGACGUAUAGGGUGUGACGCCUGCCCGGUGCUGGAAGGUUAAUUGAUGGGGUCAGCCGCAAGGCGAAGCUCUUGAUCGAAGCCCCAGUAAACGGCGGCCGUAACUAUAACGGUCCUAAGGUAGCGAAAUUCCUUGUCGGGUAAGUUCCGACCUGCACGAAUGGCGUAACGACAGCGGCGCUGUCUCCACCCGAGACUCAGUGAAAUUGAAAUCGCUGUGAAGAUGCAGCGUUCCCGUGGCAAGACGGAAAGACCCCGUGAACCUUUACUAUAGCUUUACACUGAACGUUGAGUUCGUCUGUGUAGGAUAGGUGGGAGGCUAUGAAACCAUGGCGCUAGCUGUGGCGGAGCCAUCCUUGAAAUACCACCCUGUCGUGCUUGACGUUCUAACCUGGGCCCAUUAUCUGGGUCGGGGACCGUGUAUGGUGGGUAGUUUGACUGGGGCGGUCUCCUCCUAAAGAGUAACGGAGGAGCUCGAAGGUACGCUCAGCGCGGUCGGACAUCGCGCACUGUGUGCAAAGGCAUAAGCGUGCUUGACUGCAAGAUCGACGGAUCAAGCAGGUAGGAAACUAGGACUUAGUGAUCCGGUGGUUCUGUAUGGAAGGGCCAUCGCUCAACGGAUAAAAGGUACUCCGGGGAUAACAGGCUGAUACCGCCCAAGAGUUCAUAUCGACGGCGGUGUUUGGCACCUCGAUGUCGGCUCAUCACAUCCUGGGGCUGUAGUCGGUCCCAAGGGUAUGGCUGUUCGCCAUUUAAAGUGGUACGCGAGCUGGGUUCAGAACGUCGUGAGACAGUUCGGUCCCUAUCUGCCAUGGGCGUUGGAGAUUUGAGAGGGGCUGCUCCUAGUACGAGAGGACCGGAGUGGACGAACCUCUGGUGUUCCGGUUGUCACGCCAGUGGCAUUGCCGGGUAGCUAUGUUCGGAAGCGAUAACCGCUGAAAGCAUCUAAGCGGGAAGCGCGCCUCAAGAUGAGAUCUCCCGGGGCACAAGCCCCCUGAAGGAACCAUGUAGACUACGUGGUUGAUAGGUCAGGUGUGUAAGUACAGCAAUGUAUUGAGCUAACUGAUACUAAUGAUCCGUGCGGCUUGACCAU
rnacentral:rRNA from 1 species